UCAUCACCUUAAGAACAUGCCGAUAAAAUUGGAACGAUACAUAGAAGAUUAGCAUGACCCUUGCGCACGGAUAACAUGCACAAAUCAAGAAAUAAUCCAAAUUAAA